GACGAACGCUGGCGGCGUGCCUAAUACAUGCAAGUAGAACGCUGAAGGAGGAGCUUGCUUCUCCGGAUGAGUUGCGAACGGGUGAGUAACGCGUAGGUAACCUGCCUGGUAGCGGGGGAUAACUAUUGGAAACGAUAGCUAAUACCGCAUAACAGUAGAUGUUGCAUGACAUUUGCUUAAAAGGUGCAAUUGCAUCACUACCAGAUGGACCUGCGUUGUAUUAGCUAGUUGGUGAGGUAACGGCUCACCAAGGCGACGAUACAUAGCCGACCUGAGAGGGUGAUCGGCCACACUGGGACUGAGACGCGGCCCAGACUCCUACGGGAGGCAGCAGUAGGGAAUCUUCGGCAAUGGACGGAAGUCUGACCGAGCAACGCCGCGUGAGUGAAGAAGGUUUUCGGAUCGUAAAGCUCUGUUGUAAGAGAAGAACGAGUGUGAGAGUGGAAAGUUCACACUGUGACGGUAUCUUACCAGAAAGGGACGGCUAACUACGUG
rnacentral:rRNA from 1 species